UACGGAAGGCAGCAGUGGGGAAUAUUGCACAAUGGGCGCAAGCCUGAUGCAGCCAUGCCGCGUGUAUGAAAAAGGCCUUCGGGUUGUAAAGUACUUUCAGUCGUGAGGAAGGUGUUAAGGUUAAUAACCUUAGCAAUUGACGUUAGCGACAGAAGAAGCACCGGCUAACUCCGUGCCAGCAGCCGCGGUAAUACGGAGGGUGCGAGCGUUAAUCGGAAUUACUGGGCGUAAAGGGCACGCAGGCGGUUAAUUAAGUUGGAUGUGAAAUCCCCGGGCUUAACCUGGGAAUGGCAUUCAAGACUGGUUAGCUAGAGUCUUGUAGAGGGGGUAGAAUUCCAUGUGUAGCGGUGAAAUGCGUAGAGAUGUGGAGGAAUACCGGUGGCGAAGGCGGGCCCCCUGGACAAAGACUGACGCUCAUGUGCGAAAGCGUGGGGAGCAAACAGGGAUUAGAUACC
rnacentral:rRNA from 1 species